GUGACAAUAUCACCACCAACAGCGGCACAACUAACAGGAGUGGCCGGAGCACAACCAUCACCUUUGUUAACCACUAGAAUUUGUGGUCCAAAUUCAGUGAAAAAAAAGUAUGGGCGUCCACUGCAGCAAGAUGAGCUAUUCAUGGAGACACGUAUUUUAAAGAAGAAGUAAGACACGGGUGCAGAUAGGUGGGUCGGAGACCGAGCAGAGACUACAUAUUGUAUGAUCGCUACCAAAGUUCUGUGGAGGAUUUCAUUCGUAGUCAAUCAGCUGGUGAAUCGGCCGAGCCAACCCAACCUUCGGACGAGGAUGAUGAAAGAAUGUGGUUGGAGGUUGUUGUUGGUCCAAAAAAAGGGAAGGUAUACGGGCUUCCUGAGAAAAUAAUCCAUCGCCUAUAGGUGUGGAAUGAAUAGGAACUUCCUCACAGGGCGAGGCGCUUAAUAGGGAGACUGUCUCGGCUAUGCAGGAGAAGAUGACAAGCCUUACAUCCAAGCUUGAAAUGGCCAAGGAAAGAGAAAGGCCUAGAGAUGCACAAUUUCUUGGUUUGCAAGCUCAAAUAAGAACUCUGCCUCGGUCUCGUGAGUCAUCGCCAGAGGCCCGACCUCCACGUGAUCGUUCCUCCCGUCCUCCAAGUGAUCAUUCUGCCCGUCCUCCACGUGAUCGUUCUUCCGGCCUUCCACAAGAUUGUUCUUACCGUCUUCGAGAUGAAAGUUCAUCAGAUAUUGGUGAUGCAAUAGAAAUACCCCUUGAACAAUAGUUUGAUAUUCUUUGAACUAGAUUAAUUGAACUUGUUUUGAAUUCGAAUGAAUAUUUUUUAAAUUGUUUUAAAGGUUUGAUUCGUUUGAAUUGGGAUGGUUGGUUGGAUAUGGUUGAAUAGGUGCAUGAGUGGUUGGAUUUAUGGUGAA